GACGAACGCUGGCGGCGUGCUUAACACAUGCAAGUCGAACGGAAAGGCCCUGCUUGCGGGGUACUCGAGUGGCGAACGGGUGAGUAACACGUGGGUGAUCUGCCCUGCACUUCGGGCUAAGCCUGGGAAACUGGGUCUAAUACCGGUUAGGAGCCAUUUUUAGUGCGAUGGUUGGAAAGUUUUUUCGUUGUAGGAUGAGCUCGCGGCCUAUCCGCUUGUUGGUGGGGUAAUGGCCUACCAAGGCGGCGACGGGUAGCCGGGCUGAGAGGGUUGACGGCCACGUUGGGGCAAAGAAACGGCCCAGACUCCUGCGGGAUGCAGCAGUGGGGAAUAGUGCACAAUGAGCGCAAGCCUGAUGCCAGGACGCCCCGUGGGGGAUGACGGCCUUCGGGUUGUAAACUCAUUUCGCUAGGGACGAAGCUUUGUGUGACGGUACCUAGAAAAGAAACGCCGGCUAACUUCGUG
rnacentral:rRNA from 1 species